rnacentral:rRNA from 1 species
UCGAGGAUCUUCGUCAAUGGGCGAAAGCCUGAACGAGCGAUGCCGCGUGUGCGAUGAAGGCCUUCGGGUUGUAAAGCACGAAAGAGAUGAGAAAGGGCAACUUGAUCGAAUCUCAGUAAGCUCGGGCUAAGUUCGUGCCAGCAGCCGCGGUAAGACGAACCGAGCGAACGUUGUUCGGAAUCACUGGGCUUAAAGGGCGCGUAGGCGGGCGGUUAAGUCUGCGGUGAAAUCCUCCAGCUCAACUGGAGAACUGCCGUGGAUACUGGCUGUCUCGAGGAAGGUAGGGGCGUGUGGAACUAUCGGUGGAGCGGUGAAAUGCGUUGAUAUCGAUAGGAACUCCGGUGGCGAAGGCGACACGCUGGACCUUUUCUGACGCUGAGGCGCGAAAGCCAGGGGAGCAAACGG